rnacentral:rRNA from 1 species
UACGGAGAGUGCGAGCGUUGUCCGGAAUCAUUGGGCGUAAAGAGCGCGUAGGUGGCGGGACAAGCGUGCGGUGAAAGCUCGGGGCUCAACCCCGAGUCGGCCGUGCGAACUGUUUUGCUUGAGCACUGUAGAGGCAGGCGGAAUUCCGGGUGUAGCGGUGGAAUGCGUAGAGAUCCGGAAGAACACCGGUGGCGAAGGCGGCCUGCUGGGCAGUAGCUGACACUGAGGCGCGACAGCGUGGGGAGCAAACAGG